UUUAUUUUCAUUAAAAUAAUAUGUAUUUUCAGAGGAUUUCGUAAGAAAAGUCGAAUAAAAUUGUCUUUGUUUUUUCGGUGAUAGAAACGCUCUCUCAUUGGUUGCAAUCGUAGUGACGUCACACGCAAGUAAACAAAGCUUCUUGACUGGAGUUUAGUACGCCGUUUACGUGAUAAAUAGUGUUUGAUUAGAUUUUUAUGUGAUUAUUCACAAUUUUCAUACAAUUUCUAGUACAAAUAUUAACUACGUUACUCACAACAGCUAUAAUAAUAUCUAAGAUGGACUCCAAUUACGUGCGAGCAGAUAACAGCAACCUACCUAAGAUCGAUCCAUUCAUGGUAGAACUAUUUUUUAAAAACAAUGCAGUUUAUUAUGCUUCUGAAGUAAGAAAUAUAAAAACAGUAGUGUCUGCAAGAGAGUCGUACGGUGAUGAUGCCGUUGGCUACGUUCAACUGUACCGCGACAAUGGGAUUUGUACAGUAAAAUGCAAAAUGUGCCCGGAACAUAAAGUGCGCACCAAAGCUUACAAUGUUACCCUGGUCGUAAAUGAAAAUGACGGUGUGAUAAUAAGCUGUGAGUGCCAUGACUGUGCGGCUUCAGCUGGCGGAUGUAAACACGCGGUAGCCUUUUUGAUGUGGGUCCAUCGUCGCAGCGAGGAACCAGCAUGUACAUCGGUCGAGUGUUACUGGAAGAAGCCUGUUCUGUCUAGAGUAGGAACCACUUUAAAGUUCAUCACUAUAGAACAAAUGACCAAGACCCCUGUUCCACACAGACCUAGCACAUCAGCACUAUACGAAGAUUUUAUUUUAGAAGCCAAAAAGAGAAAAAUUAACAACUGUGAAUUGCUAAAAUUUCAAGAUGAUUUUGUGCAUAGUGACAUUAUGAAAUACUCAUUACAUAGUUUUAUGAUAAAUCUACCUCAAGAAACUAAAAAUGAUAUAGACAUGCUCUUAGGCGUAACGAAAAGUACAUUCACAAGUGACAUUAUCAAAAGUGUAGAAGAAGCAACAAGGCAGCAGAAUAAAAGU